GACGAACGCUGGCGGCGUGCCUAAUACAUGCAAGUAGAACGCUGAAGCGAGGAGCUUGCUCUUCUUGGAUGAGUUGCGAACGGGUGAGUAACGCGUAGGUAACCUGCCUUGUAGCGGGGGAUAACUAUUGGAAACGAUACCUAAUACCGCAUAACAAUGGAUGACACAUGUCAUUUAUUUGAAAGGGGCAAUUGCUCCACUACAAGAUGGACCUGCGUUGUAUUAGCUAGUAGGUGAGGUAAUGGCUCACCUAGGCGACGAUACAUAGCCGACCUGAGAGGGUGAUCGGCCACACUGGGACUGAGACACGGCCCAGACUCCUACGGGAGGCAGCAGUAGGGAAUCUUCGGCAAUGGGGGCAACCCUGACCGAGCAACGCCGCGGGAGUGAAGAAGGGUUUCGGAUCGGAAAGCUCUGUUGUAAGUCAAGAACGGGUGUGAGAGUGGAAAGUUCACACUGUGACGGUAGCUGACCAGAAAGGGACGGCUAACUACGUG
rnacentral:rRNA from 1 species